AGCAGUCGCCGCGGUAAUACAGAGGGUGCGAGCGUUAAUCGGAUUUACUGGGCGUAAAGCGUGCGUAGGCGGCUUUUUAAGUCGGAUGUGAAAUCCCUGAGCUUAACUUAGGAAUUGCAUUCGAUACUGGGAAGCUAGAGUAUGGGAGAGGAUGGUAGAAUUCCAGGUGUAGCGGUGAAAUGCGUAGAGAUCUGGAGGAAUACCGAUGGCGAAGGCAGCCAUCUGGCCUAAUACUGACGCUGAGGUACGAAAGCAUGGGGAGCAAACAGGAUUAGAUACCCCGGUAGUCCCUGUCUCUUAUAA
rnacentral:rRNA from 1 species